CACAGUCGCACGAUGGAGAUUACGGAGAUGGCUGUGUACCUCUGGCAUCGUCAUGCGAACCGAAAGAAGGAAAGAUACUGGGUACACCCUAUGUUGCAAUCCUGCUCUACAAACGGAAUAUUUGUUACUUUUUUGUGAAUUUCCUGAACACGAAGAUAAAUUCUUCAAUUUUACUAUAACGUCUAUAAAAACGUUUGAUGAAAUAUUAAAGAAAAUUGGAGACAGCAUAAGAGGUACAGAGACAGCAAUACAUAGGAAAUGAAGAGAAGCUAAGAUGCCUGGCAACUGGAAAUCCGUUCGUUGAUUUGCAUCAUGCUUUCCGUCUUGGAGUAACAAGAAUCAGAUAAAUUUUAAGAAGAGUAUGUUCACCAAUCUGGAUUAUCUUAAAACAUGAAUGUUUGUCAGAUCCGACCAAAAACGACUGGCUGCAAAUAGCGAGAGUUUUUGAAACUAAGGCCAAUUUCCCAAACUGUCUCGGCGUCUUUGAUGGAAAGCAUGUGCGGCUGGUGAAACCAGCAAACAGUGCAUCAAUAUUCUUCAACUAUAAGAAAUAUUUCUCUACUGUAUUAAUGGCUAUUUGUGAUGCAUACUAUAAAUUUGUAGCUGUAGAUGUGGGAUCGUAUGGUAAAUGUGUUGACUCAACGAUAUUUCAACAACCAGUGAUCUAUAAGCGAAUACUGUCUAAUAACUUGGACAUUCCGGAAGACAAACACAUUUCAGACAUAAACAAAACGCCAGUGCCUUAUGUAUUUGUAGCUGACGACGCAUUUUCGCAGUCACGCAGAAUUACGUAUCCACACUAGGUCUACGACUUGAUAUAAAAAAAUAAUAAAAUAAAAAAAAUAAUAAAAAAAAGUAUUCAACUAUCGUAA